rnacentral:ncRNA from 1 species
UUAAAGUUUGAUUUUAGCUUUUAUAUUUAUUUAAAGAUUUACUUUCAUGGAAAUUUUUGUGGGUUUAAAAAAUUUUUUUAAAAAAAAUUUUUAAUAAAAAUAUUAUUUAUUAUUCAGUUUAUAAAAUUAUUUAUUAAAGAAAUUUAGAAUUAAAAAUUUUUAUAGUAUAAGUUAAAAUUGUGCCAGCAGCUGCGGUUAUACAAUUUAUUCAAAUAAAUAUUAUUUAUAUAUAAAUUUAUUAAUUUAGAAAUAUUAUAUUAUUAAGAUAAAAGUAAUUAAGUGAAAUUUUUAUUUUUUGAAUAAAAAUAUUUUAAUUAAAUUAUUUUAUGAAAUUUUAUUAAUAAACUAGGAUUAGAUACCCUAUUAUUUAAAAUUUAAAAUAUUAGUAUAAAAGAAUAAUAGUUAUGUUCUUUAAAUUUAAAAAAAUUGGCGGUGUUUAAAACUAAUUAGGGGAACUUGUUUUUUAAAUGAUAAUCCGCAUGAUACCUUACUUUAAUUUAUUUAGUUUAUUUACUGCCGUUAUCAGAUUAUUUUUUAAAAAUUUAAAUUUUCUAAAUUAUUAAAUAGAUAUUUAUUUCAGGUCAUGGUGUAAUUUAUAUUAAAGUAAAAAUGAGUUACAAUAAAUUUUAUUUAUUUAUGAAAAUUUAAUUGAAAUAUUAAAUUGAAGGUGGACUUAAUAGUAAAUUAAAAUAAGUAUAUUUAUUUGAAUUAAGAAUUAAAUGUGUACAUAUUGCCCGUCGCUCUCGUUUUAAGAUGAGAUAAGUCGUAACAUAGUAGAGGUACUGGAAAGUGUUUCUAGAAAUUUU